AGGUGUCACUGGACGCCCUCCAACACUGGAAGGGGUCACUUUUGAGGAUUAGAGAGAACAUAAAAAUUAUCUUUUUUGACUUAAAAAGUAUGGCUCUGGGAGGGGAUAGAGGGAAGGCAAUAAGGGUUACCAUGACUUUUCUCUGAACAACACAGGGAUCAACUCAACCAGCUCGCCACCUUCUUCCUGUCAGCAGCCACCAACGUGCUGGAAGUCAGGUCUGUCAUUGCACUCUGCUGAUUCCAGAAGCUAGGAAUCCAUGCCAGCCUUAUUAUUUAGAAAACCGCCCGAUAGGGGCAUCCUGCAGAUGACAGACUGGAUCUGCAUCUAAAAUAACAGGAGUAGAUUGCAGAUUGAUUCAUGGGAUCCAGCGCUGAGCAGCCCAAACUCCAUCUUUCCAAGUUCCAUCUCCGAACUCCUGUCAGUCUCAAAAUUGAUAGAACAGCCUGAAGCCAUUGCACAGAGUUAUGUCGGCAAUCACCUUUCUCAUUCUCUCAUAUGGGUGCCAAUACGUCAAGAGGACCCAGGCAAGGGAACAACAAGGUGGCUUUAUUUAGCAUUAUGACAAGCAAAUACUUGAAUACCAAAAAGCACAUGAGCUUUACAGCAGCAGGGAAAAA